UCUACAAUGUACAUUGACUAUUACUUUUUUUGUUUUAUUUUCAAUAAAAAAAUGAUUUUAUUAUUAACAUUGAUGGAAGCUUACUAACCUUGGAUUUUUAUGAAAAUUGGCUUAGCAUCCCAGAUGAAGGAACUCUGGGUGGAAAAAUUAAUGCCAAAGUAAUGCCAAAGUAAUGAUACAGUAAACACUUGGGGGGACUACACCAAUAUAUAAGCAAUGCUUUUUGUAAGGUACAUAGGCUUGUGUUUACAGGAUUAUAAGCUGGAAUGAUGUUCUAUGCCAAGAGGUUUCCUUAGCUCAGACAUGUAUUGUCACUUUUUAAACAUUCCCAUUUCUCAAGCUAGCGUGUUGAACCAUGUCUGUAAUCUUACCUGGGAGCCUUCUCCUUAAAAAUGUCAUGAUUUAGAAGACAGUCUAUGUAACACCUCUUGUUCAGGUCAGUUUAGAGUAUUGGUUUAGUUCCUGUGUGAGACAAAUUAAAAGAAGUAGGUGUGUAUAAUACCUGUGGGUUACUUGCAUCCUAGAAUUGUUACCAUGGUAUUGUGAAUAUUUCACAUGGUUAAUAUAUGUUAUUGAUUAGAACAGGAAUCUCUUACUGAAUUCUUCUUUCUCAACUAUAACUACCUAGAGAAGUCUAGAUCAGGUAUAACUUUGACUUUUUUGAAUCAUUUUUCUGUGUGAUACUCCAUAGAAUGAUUUCAUACUUAACCAGAGCUUUGAGCUCUCAUUGCAACCCAGGAGCCCUGCAUCUCUGUCUUGCUGUAGUGAAGCUUUUAUAAUUGCAUUUUGCAGGGUCACUAGUGUGCUUUCUGCUCCUUAUGUUCUGGAGUGUCACAAAAGUGUUACAUGGAUUCAUACUACAUUAGAUAUUAAAUGUGUCUCCACUCCAUGAUGGUUGGAAAGAUGGUUUGCUGUUUAAUAACACUGAAUGUUUUCAUACACAGAACACACAUGGUCUUCAAAAAAUCUUCAUUCAUUCUAAUACCAGGGCAUUGAGUAGAGUCAUGAGUCUGAUUUUGCUCCUUAUGUUCUAGAUUGUUAUAAGGGUGUGUCGUCGAUUCAUAAUACAUUAGAUAUUAAAUGUGUCCCCAUGGUGGCAAGAAGGGUGGUUUGCUGUUUGAUAACACUGGAUGUUUUCACACACAGAACAUACAUGGUUUGCAACAAUAUUCAUUCAUUCUAUUACCAGGGAUUCCUGACAUGUUCCUCUGGCUUCUGUAAGUAGCAGUCAUACAUCUAGUACACUGAAAUUCGUAAAUAAUUUGAAAAAUGUUUUUUCCAUGAUUCUGUACAGAAAAGUGAUUUACAGAAAAUAUUUUAUGUAAUACUCUAGCUAUAUAUUCUUACUUCUUUUGAAUUCUGAUUAUACUAUGAGUUGGUCUACAAAACAUUUACCCUAUUUGUUCUUUGUAGUUAGAUUUUUAGCUUACAUUAUUUUCAAGAUGGUCUAACCUAAAAUUCUCCUUUUUCUGUGUUUAGCCUUUUGCAACAGAUCCCAGAACCAAUCUUUAUACUAUUAAAACAUCUCAUAUGUGUAUUAGUAAUAAUAAAAGAUUCUUCCAUGAAUAAUUUAGACAGUUACAGGUUAUCUCUGCGCAUAGCUCCACAUGUACUGUGGGGUCAGACUUCGAGAGAUUCAUUAUUUAGGAGUGACGUCUUAAGAAAGGUAAGGGGAUCUGAAAUUUGCCUUUGGGAACAAAAGUCUAAUUAUUAUUCAGUAAUUGGGAAUACUUUACAAAGACGAUUUCUCUAACAGGAAACCUUAGGAUUGCAUUCUUAUGGAGUGGAGUAGAAUAUGUAUUGAUCUAUUUCAGGAAGAUUUGGGAAGGGAAAUUUUUAAUGUAGUUUAAAAUGUCUCUUAUACAAAUCAUGAUUGACAACUAUCAUCGAAUAUUUGGAAAUGAUGAUAUAUUUAGUAAACACAUUGACAAAAGGUCUGAAGACUUAAAGACAUACAAAGAAUCAAUAAAUUAUUCUGGAAAAUCUCCUAUUGUGACAAAAGCCAUAGCUUGGCCACAACUGGAAAACCAAUGAUAUUGAUGAAAAAUUUAAUAUUUCAUAUGCUGCACUGCAGGAAGAAGGUCCUACAG
rnacentral:sRNA from 1 species